GGGAGCUAGACAGAAGCACUUAUUCUGGUACUAUGCACCCGUUACCUCUGGGGCUGAUUCAGGAUUCGACGGGAAUUUUGCAGUCUGAGGUGCAUGCCGAGGUGCGGUAGGCCUCGUUAACAAACCGCAAAAAAAUAGUCGCAAACGACGAAAACUACGCACUAGCAGCUUAAUACCCUGCUCAGAGCCCUUCCUCCCUAGCUUCCGCUUGUAAGACGGGGAAAUCAGGAAGGUCAAACCAAAUCAAGCUGGCGUGGAUUCCCCCACCUGAGGGAUGAAGCGCGAGAUCUAAUUCAGGUUAGCCAUUCGUUAGCGUGUCGGUUCGCAGGCGGUGGUGAAAUUAAAGAUCGACUAAGCAUGUAGUACCAAAGAUGAAUGGUUUUCGGACGGGGGUUCAACUCCCCCCAGCUUCCACCA
rnacentral:tmRNA from 1 species